rfam:Triticum aestivum genome assembly, contig: Triticum_aestivum_CS42_TGACv1_scaffold_320339_4BL
AGAAUACUCCCUCUGUCCGGAAAUACUUGUCAUCAAAAUGAAUAAAAAGGGACGUAUCUAGAUGUAUUUUAGUUCUACAUACAUCCCUUUUUGUUCAUUUUGAUGACAGGUAUUUUUUGAUGGAGGGGGUAAUUA